GUUGGGUCGGCGCCGCGUCCUGCAGGCGUCUGCCUUUUCAGCUCUCGAUUGUAGGUUAAACGCCUACAAUGGCUAUCACGGGUAACGGGGAAUCAGGGUUCGAUUCCGGAGAGGAGCCUGAGAAACGGCUACCACAUCUAAGGAAGGCAGCAGGCGCGCAAAUUACCCACUCCCGGCACGGGAGGUAGUGACGAAAAAUACUGUUGCGAGCCCGAACGGGGCCUCGCAAUUGGAAUGAGUACACUUUAAAUCCUUGUACGAGGAUCGAGUGGAGGGCAAGUCUGGUGCCAGCCGCCGCGGUAAUUCCAGCUCCACUAGCGUAUAUUAAAGUUGUUGCGGUUGAAACGCUCGUAGUUUGACUUCUGCUCCGGACCGGCGGUCCGCCUUAGCGGCGGCUACUGCCGGGUUCCGAGCUGUGUCCCGCCGGCGCACAUGGGUUUUUAUGCCCUUAACCGGGUGUCCCCUUGUGGCCGGCACGUUUACUUUGAAAAAAUUAGAGUGCUCAGAGCAGGCUGGUUUUUGCUUACAGCCCGAAUGGUCGUGCAUGGAAUGAUGGAACAGGACCUCGGUUCUAUUUUGUCGGUUUUUCGGAACCCGAGGUAAUGAUUAAUAGAAGCAGACGGGGCAUUCGUACUGCGACGCUAGAGGUGAAAUUCUUAGACCGUCGCAUGACGACCUACUGCGAAAGCAUCUGCCAAGGAUGUUUUCAUUGAUCAAGAACGAAAGUUAGAGGUUCGAAGGCGAUCAGAUACCGCCCUAGUUCUAACCUUAAACGAUGCUGACUAGCGAUCCGCCGCAGUUAUUCCAUGACCCGGCGGGUAGCUUCCGGGAAACCAAAGUCUUUGAGUUCCGGGGAAGUAUGGUUGCAAAGCUGAAACUUAAAGGAAUUGACGGAAGGGCACCACCAGGCACUAUGGCUUACUUCGAGAUUUGCCUCAUGAUGAAGGAGGACUCGGAGUGGGUCGAUCGCUACGAUGACAUCGGCCUCGUCCCCUUCACUCACAAAGGCGACCAGUGGGUGGGCUACGAGGACCCCGACAGCCUCAAGAUCAAGAUGGACUUCAUCCGCGAGCAGGGUUAUCUCGGCGCCAUGACCUGGGCCAUCGAUCAGGACGACUUCCGGAACUGGUGUGGAAGGGGACAAAACCCGAUGAUGAACACCAUUUACAAUGGCAUGAAGGACUACGUAGUCCCUGUUGCUCCCACUCUUCCUCCGACCACAACUAACUCCUGGUGGACACCGCCAACUACCACCACCACAACACGAGACCCCAGCAUCACCACCACCACGAGGGAUCCCAACUUGCCGACCACAACUAUGGGGCCGAUUGACUGUACUGUGCAAGAAUACUGGCCGCAUCCGGACUGUGAUAAGUACUAUUGGUGCUUCGAAGGCGUGCCGCACUUGGAGUACUGCCCCGCUGGCACCGUGUGGAACCAGGCCAUCAAGGCGUGCGACUGGCCGGCUAACGUAGACACCUCCGGCUGCAACAUGCCUUCGCUCUCGAAGGACGCCAGCCAGCGGACCCUCCACAAC
rnacentral:rRNA from 1 species